UACAGAGGGGGCAAGCGUUAUUCGGAAUUAUUGGGCGUAAAGGGCGCGUAGGCGGCUUUUCAAGUGGCGGGUGAAAGCCCUCGGCUUAACCGAGGAACUGCCUGCCAGACUGAAUGGCUUGAGACCGGGAGAGGUGAGUGGAAUUCCCAGUGUAGCGGUGAAAUGCGCAGAUAUCAGGAAGAACACCCGUGGCGAAGGCGGCUCUCUGGGACGGUACUGACGCUGAGACGCGAAAGCGUGGGGAGCGAACAGG
rnacentral:rRNA from 1 species